rnacentral:rRNA from 1 species
UGCCAGCAGCCGCGGUAAUACGGAGGGGGCGAGCGUUAUUCGGAAUUACUGGGCGUAAAGGGCGUGUAGGCGGCAUGGCAAGUCAAAGGUGAAAGCCCUCGGCUCAACCGAGGAACUGCCUUUGAAACUGCCAAGCUAGAGACUGGGAGGGGGUGGCGGAAUUCCUGGUGUAGCGGUGAAAUGCGUAGAUAUCAGGAGGAACACCGGUGGCGAAGGCGGCCACCUGGACCAGUUCUGACGCUGAGGCGCGAAAGCGUGGGGAGCAAACAGGAUUAGAUA